GCAUUCCCAGCCCAUUACAGCAUUCCCAGGCUCUGACAGCAUUCCCAGCCUGUGAGAGCAUUCCCAGCCUGUGAGAGCAUUCCCAGCCUGUGAGAGCAUUCCCAGCCUGUGCAGCAUUCCCUGCCUGUGACAGCAUUCCCAGGCUCUGACAGCAUUCCCAGCCUGUGCAGCAUUCCUUGCUGUGACAGCAUUCCCAGGCUCUGACAGCAUUCCCUGCCUGUGCAGCAUUCCCAGGCUCUGACAGCAUUCCCAGGCUCUGACAGCAUUCCCUGCCUGUGCAGCAUUCCCAGCCUGUGCAGCAUUCCCAGCCCCUCUGCUGCCCCAUCCCAGCAGUGCUGAAGUGAGCAGGUGGGAUCAGCUGAGCUGGAAUAUCUCUGCAGGAAGAGAAACACUUCUGAAAAGGGACCGACAGGUGAGUGUUCUGACGAGUUUUUGUCAGACAGGAGUCUCCAGGCAGGUCUUGCCAGACCUGAGCACCUUCCUCCCCAGGGACCUGCUCACCUCAUCCCAGAGGUGAAGUGGGAGGGAAAGACCCAGGGCAGAGUUCAUCCGGGAGAGAUCCCAAAGAGCCACAGCCAGGGCAGAGCUCAUCCAGGAGAGAUCCCAAGGAGCCACAGCCAGGGCAGAGCUCAUCC
rnacentral:lncRNA from 1 species